ensembl:lncRNA
ACUGAAGAAACCGGUAGUGCUAUAUAUAUAUAUAUGCUGUUCGUUUAUGUUUCUUUAUCUGUUAGUCGCAGCUUUUAGUUUUCACAGGUUACUCGCGGAGAUCGAAUUAGGCAAUAAUUGUACAGUGGAUCAUCUGACUCCAUUACGAAUCAUUAUCUUAUAUCAAACUCUUUUACAAGAAUUCAUGUGGAAUUUUAAAUGAUUUCGAGGAUCUCUGUGGACAUCAGAUACGUUGGAAUCUUGUUGUGGAUCCUCUGACCUGAUGAGUAAUCAUUAUCUUAUCUAAAAAAAUAACUGUAACAAGGACAGAUUCGAAGGCUCAAAGAGAUUCCUGACCACUCCGGCUUCGCAAUCUACACUCGUUUGUGUCCCGACACGUGCAUUUUGUUCUCUUGUCUUACUCUACAGGUCUUAUUGUUUCUUCUGACAACUUAUAUUUAAGACAGAGAGAUCAAGCUCGUCAUUAACACCGACGUGUACAUUCGGUGUUUCCUGAAAUCUGCCGCUAUGCAGCUGGAAGCACAGAAAGUUGUAUGUGGCCAGAGCUUGCUGUCCAGUUCCCUCAGAGUGUAUCUGAACAACAAGAACCGACUGCAGCCCAUCAUCGGUCAGAACGUGUGUGUGUGUGUGUGUGUGUGUGUGAUACAUGUUUGUGUAUUUUACUUACACAUCUGCUUUGAAUCCCUGUGAGCUGCGUGCAUGUGACGUGUGUUUGUUUCAGGUCUGAGCUGCAUGACAGAGUGUGUUAAGCUCAGUGGAGGCUCUGAGGCGGUGUACUUGUGUGAUGUGUGUAUGUGUCGUCUCGGUAAGGCCGACGUCCGGAGCCACAUCAUGGGGAGUCUCCACCGAUACAACUACAUCGUAAGUCCGUGUUUCGGGAUCUGUUUACUAACAAGCUACUCUCUGGUCUUGAAGGGUGGUUGUAAUACCCGGUACCGGGUUCUGGACUUUUGGGGUCCCUAAGAAAUAUUUGAUUCGGGGCCCUUUCUCUCCUAGUGGUCGGGGGUUCCCUAGUUGUUGGGGGACCACUAGCGGUCGGGGCCCUGAGCGAAUGCUUGUGUCGCUUAUGCCUAGAACCGGCCCGGGUAAUACCUCCAUGUCGGGUUGGUGUUGAGGUUCACCAAAUCCACAAUACACUUCUACUUUCUGAACCAGAAUCUCUGAAAGAGGAUUCUGGUUUCUUGGGAUAGACGUGAACAUGGCUCAGAUUGGUAUUGGGGCUUUUAUGUUAAACUGUGAUACUGCCUCAUACUGAGCUUCUGUCUGCUGCCCAGUCAUGUUCCUCUCAACGGGGGCGUGCUGUAAUAGUUAAAAACACUCAAGGGAAUAUCAGCCUGUUCCCAAGCAAGCUUGUUUUGAUUGACUAAACAAAAUGUAAUUUUUACAAAGCUAUUCAGGUCUUUUACUGCUAAUUCUGCACCAUCAUUAUUCCAGGGAAUCCUUUUUAUUUUUUAACGUUAGUUGUUUUUUGACAGUUGUUCUUUGGUAGGUUUCUUCACUGUCUUUCUUCCAUGUAGAGCAUUUCUUAAAAUAAUGCAGUUUGCCUCGUGGUUGAGUACUGCUUGUUUGAGGUAGGUUGUGUUUUUUCUGUGUUCUGAUAGCGUUGUGCAGACAGUGAAUGCUCUGAGAGCCUCUGGGUUGAGGUCAGUGAUGACAUAUUCUACAUUUCUGCUGUCAAACAUGAGCUGUAGGUUGUAUCCACUGUAUGAGUCCCCUUGAACCCUGAUGGAAACAUUUGACUCCCAUAUAAUAAAUAAUAUGUAUAAUACAAGUGUUAAUUCACUGUGGGUACAAGAGUUUCAGACCACUGUGAUAAGUGCAACACUUUAGAGGCUUGCCUUUAUAAUCGAGGCUACUACCUGUUUGCGCUAAUGAGGGCUUGAGGGACGUUCAUAACGUGUCUCAAACACAUCAUUAUUGGGGGAGGGUGUUCUACCGCUGAGUGAACUGUCUCUCUCCUUAGUUAUUUUUAGUUUUUUUUUUUUUAGGCUUUGUUUGACGGUAGGAAUCAGGGAGAUGGGUGAAGUGGAGGAGGGUGGAAAUGGGUAUCGAACCCCGCUCUCUGACGAGGAGACACCUUUUUGCGUUGAGCCGGGAGUGUCACCAUUGGGGGCCUAGAGGGCCGCACAAAACCCCCUAUUUUCAACCACAGAAUGGACACAUGGCCACAGAUGGGAGCAGAGUCGAGAUUAACGUGUGCUCACGCCUCCUGUUGUUUCAGACGGAACCUGAAACAGUGGAUUCCAACUCCACCAUUACUCGCCACGUGUAAUGCACGUUUGUUUUGGUCCCGGAUAAACAUACCAAUUCCCAUCUAAUUUACACGGCCUGCUGAUAUGUUCACAGGUUGAACAGGUGUUUUUGUGUUGAGGAAGAAAUUCGCCAGAGAGGGAGAUGUUGGAUAUUAUGCCUUUGCCCAGCCUAGAACAAGGCAGUACUGUGGUGAAAGAAUACCAAGAGAUUCUGGUCAACAACAAUGUAAACUGUGUGUGUCUGUCUGUCUGUGUGUGUGUGUGGAAGACAGCUGGUGCGUCCCGUUAUUCUCUUAUCUGUGCUCCUACUCCCAUGGUCUGUAAGAGUGAAUGGUAUUUUUAUCUCCUGUGGAGGACAGAUUAACAGCCUGUUUCCUUGACUCUCCUGAAGGAGUAUAUGUAUCCACAUUACCUAGGGGGAGGGUGGGAACCUCAGGAUGGUUGCAUUAUGAUGUGUAACUCCGUUCUUUCCCCUGGGCUCUGGGGGAAAAAAAGAAAAGAAUAAUUGACUUCAGAAACACUAGCCUUGAUUUCUUUUAAUUAGGAAUACUGGGACGCUGCCAGGAUUAGACUCAAAGGUUACAUGUCACACACAACUUACAGUUCAGACACACUGACAGAAGGGAGGGCUGAGUCGGUCUAAGUUCUUGCAGGGUGUAGUGUAUAUUUCUAGUUAAAGAAAUGAAGGUGAUUGUCUCUGAGUCACUGAUUCUUUUAUUCCAAGCUGGUUGUUGGUGCCAGACGGGCCGGUCUGAGUAUUUAACAAUCUGCUCAGUUACUGGGAUUUUCACGCACAACCAUUUCUAGGGUUUACAAAGAAUGGUGUGAAAAGGUGUGGAAAAACAUCCAGUAUGCGGCAGUCCUGUGGGCGAAAAUGCCUUGUUGAUGCUAGAGGUCAGAGGAGAAUGGGCCGACUGAUUCAAGCAGAUAGAAGAGCAACUUUGACUGAAAUAACCACUCGUUACAACUGAGGUAUGCAGCAAAGCAUUUGUGAAGCCACAACACGCACAACCUUGAGGCGGAUGGGCUACAACAGCAGAAGACCCAACCGGGUACCACUCAUCUCCACUACAAAUAGGAAAAAGAGGCUACAAUUUGCACGAGCUCACCAAAAUUGGACAGUUGAAGACUGGAACAAUGUUGCCUGGUCUGAUGAGUUUCGAUUUCUGUUGAGACAUUCAGAUAGUAGAGUCAGAAUUUGGCGUAAACAGAAUGAGAACAUGGAUCCAUCCUGCCUUGUUACCACUGUGCAGGCUGGUGGUGGUGGUGUAAUGGUGUGGGGGAUGUUUUCUUGGCACACUUUAGGCCCCUUAGUGCCAAUCGGGCAUCGUUUAAAUGCCACGGCCUACCUGAGCAUUGUUUCUUACCAUGUCCAUCCCUUAAAUGACCACCAUGUACCCAUCCUCUGAUGGCUACUUCCAGCAGGAUAAUGCACCAUGUCACAAAGCUCGAAUCAUUUCAAAUUGGUUUCUUGAACAUGACAAUGAGUUCACUGUACUGAAAUGGCCCCCACAGUCACCAGAUCUCAACCCAAUAGAGCAUGGGAUGUGGUGGAACGGGAGCUUCGUGCCCUGGAUGUGCAUCCCACAAAUCUCCAUCAACUGCAAGAUGCUAUCCUAUCAAUAUGGGCCAACAUUUCUAAAGAAUGCUUUCAGCACCUUGUUGAAUCAAUGCCACGUAGAAUUAAGGCAGUUCUGAAGGCGAAAGGGGGUCAAACACAGUAUUAGUAUGGUGUUCCUAAUAAUCCUUUAGGUGAGUGUAUGUUCUGGACUUUCAGUCAAGUUUACAUGAACUGCUCCACAGCAGUUUUUUGUUUUUGUUGCAUUCCUCUAAGCCCCCUUUCCCAUCUUGCUUAAGAAACAAAUCCAGUGUGUAAUAAUGUUUUUCGGCAAAGGAAACGCAUGAGUAAACUUUAUGCAUAGCCAAGUAACCUGGGGCAGAGACAUGGUCUUAUCUUUUGCUCUUGUCUGAGGCUGGUGGGGUAAAAAAGUGUUACUGUUUAGGGUGGAGUUGGAAACCAAUGGUAUACAAGGUUUUGGGGCGGGGGUUCCAGCUUAAAAAAAGACCAGCUUUGGCGUGGUCUAUAGACUGUUGUCAUACAGGCAGUGAUUUACCUGUACAAUGUAAGCACAAGUCAGUACACAAUCACUGACUAGCCUAAUACAGCAGCAUGCGUACAACAAAUACUUAUUCAAGCUAAUAUGUGUGCAUCCUCUGUUUGUUGGCUGUGGUUGCAUAGAAAAUCCAUCACCCUCACUUUGUGUCUGAGUGGAAGCAGAGCACUGAGCUGUCCAAGAUGGCUCGGCCUCUUAUGGAGAUGGCUCAAAUACUGGAGAACAAGGAAGGAACCGGGGACGUGCAGGUCUGCAUAUGUUUCUUUAUGUUUGGCGUAUGUCUGUGUGUGUGUCUGGGUGAAAAUGUCCUCUGUCCUGUCCUGUUAGGUGCUGAGGUUGGAUGCUGCUAUGUUUGAGGAGGUCACAGCCCACAGUGAGAGUGAUGUUCUCAUCCUGUUGCGUGCUAUCAAGACCGAACAAAAGCGGACGGUGACCCAGGGCCAAUCGGAGGAGGCUUUAGCCGGUUCUGAGUGUUCACUCGUCCCGUCACAGAGAACUGUGAUAUCCCCCGGGAGGCUCCCGGUCCAGCUGGAGAAGGCUGCUGUCCAAAUUGACAGCCAGAGGGGAGGGUUUGUCCACAGAAGCAACCCCCUGCUUGGUGCUUCAGUAAAGCGUCCUGCAUCAGCCUUACCAUGGCCGCACGACAACGGUCUUUCCCUGAUCCAUGAUGACGUCACAGACGGAGGUCAGGUGUUACCGGGCGGGUCUGUGGGGGAGGGGUUUGGACAAGACGGAGUUCCUGCGAAGCUUAUUCGUUGUGAGCCGGUGUUCAAGGUGAGUCUGCCUUUGACUGAUGGCCCCCUGCUGCUGGAGAGGAAUUCCUUUAGCCUGGAACCCUCCCCCGCCUCCCCCGCCUCCCCCAUACACUCACCCGUUCACUCAACCAGCGUAGGUGCCUCGCCCCAGCCCCCUUCCACAUCCUUGCAUUCAGUUGGUCAGCCAAGAAACAGAGCUGCAACGGGACCUGGAAACACACAGAUAGUUGAAUAUAAACGCACUGUCAAUGCCAGAGUCGACACAGCCAGACACAAUCAACAGCUGACUAGGGGAGAGGAACAGAGGGCAACUGACCACGGCCUGUACAUCGGGAGAGAUCAGGACAGAGCUGACCGUCUGUUUUCAAAGAAUACCAGAUUCACCGAUACAAAGUUCGGUGUCCGCGUGAUACAGGACCACAGACUGCGCAGUACUGACCCUGGUGCUGGAGAUACGAUCGCUGACUUAGUGUCUGCUGCCCAACCGAUUUUCCUUACUACUGGUCAUCACUCGGGUUGUGUGGAAGAGGAGAGCUUGACCAACAGUCCUCCAAUGGAUGAAGAACAGGAGGAAGUGAAAGGGAAUAUUUGUCAUUCUGCUAGGGGACAGAGGCUUGCAGAGGACCACAGGACAACAGACUGUCUGUAUUCUACUGGAGAGAGGAUAGCUGACAGUGGGUAUUCCACAGGAAGCAAGUCAAUUGACAGAAUGUACCAAACAGUAGAAAGAUCAACUGACAGUCAGUUCUUUAUAGCAGAAGCGACGUCUGAUCGUGGGUACUCAACUGGAGUGGCGCUUACUGAACGGGGGUACUCAGGAGUGGGGCUAACUGAACGGGGGUACUCUACAGGAGUGGGCCUAACUGAACGGGGGUACUCAGGAGUGGGGCUAACUGAACGUGGGUACUCUUCAGGAGAGGGGCUAACUGAACGGGGGUACUCAGGAGUGGGGCUAACUGAACGGGGGUACUCAGGAGUGGGGCUAACUGAACGGGGGUACUCUUCAGGAGAGGGGCUAACUGAACGGGGGUACUCUUCAGGAGAGGGGCUAACUGAACGGGGGUACUCAGGAGUGGGGCUAACUGAACGUGGGUACUCUUCAGGAGAGGGGCUAACUGAAUGGGGGUACUCUUCAAGAGAGGGGCUAACUGAACGGGGGUACUCUUCAGGAGUGGGGCUAACUGACUGUGAGGUUUUAGAGGAAGAAAAGGGUUUCAGAGAUGAAAUGCAGAAAGGAUGUGGACUUAUUGUAGAGGUCAUGGUGGGGAACCAUAGACGGGGAAGAAAAAGUGAAAAGAAAAAAAGAAAGAGGGAGAAAUCGAACUUUUACAGAAAACAGUACUUUAAAUUGCAGCCUCCAAAACUGCACCAGGCACAGGGUUUCACAGGAGCUCAUAACGGUGCCUCAGGGCUUUGCAUGGUUGACACAGUAGAUCUCCAACAUGGCAUAGCCACCUAUAGAGACCAGACAGAGCCAGUCUACCACAGAGCAGACAUGAGCAGUCAUAAUGAUGUCAUAAGUAGACCUAUGAGUGACCUAGCAGCAAUGUCACAGGUACACUUGGAGUGCAGAAGAUCCUGGCACUAUGAAGGCACACAGCUGACCGCUGAUACUUACAGAACCGGGCCAUGUGAGUAUGAGACCCACCCUAAUCACUCUAACCCUGACCGGUUCAGACCCGAGCCCCUCCGGUACCCGCAUCAUGCUCUGGCCCCAGGGACUAGACCCCAUCUUGACUCUGGUCCUUUCCCCGUGAAGAUUGGGGGCGUUCAGACACCAGGUUAUGAUGGGUUUCCCCGGGCCCUGUCUGUGACGGCUUCUUCACCCCGCCACCCUUGGCCCUGUGAAGUGGAAGGUUAUGGCCCGGCCCCGUCUGACCCAUACCCGCUCCCGAGCCAUGAUCGUUACAGAGAGGUGGCCCGGGGCCACGGGCCUGCCACGUUUCAGUGGACUUUUUCAGCACCACCCCGGUUCUAGCUACCACACGUGUUUUGUAUUUCAUUUACACUAGUCGUUCUCCGACCACUCCUCAGGACGCCCAGAUGUCUCGCAAUUCCUUUUUAACGCUGAACUAGGGACUAGUUGAAAAAUGCAAACUGGUCAAAACUGUAACAUUUGCUGAACAUUUACAUUGCUGUGCAAUGUGCAUGAAAAGUAAAUGAUGAUAAUUAACUAGCUAACCUGAAUUAUAUAGCUGAUAAUGAGUUUACAGAGGUGGCCUGCAGUACGUCAAAUACGUGGAAUGGCUGGGGUGCCCAGGAAACGUUUGAAAACCACUCCUUAAGUUUCACUUUAUGUUGGUUAAAAUGGGCAGGUGUUUUGUGUGUUUGUUUUAUACACUGGAUUUCACCCUGUAAAUGUGAUUUGGAUUUCAUGCCUUCUUGAUUCUUUUAGCUUUUCUGUGUGGGAACGUAUUUUUGUAUGCCGAAUGAAGAUGGAGUUAUAAAAAAAGCAUUGAAUAGUGCCUCAGUAUUUGUCUGUUGUUAAGCCUAUGUGAGCACAUUCUUAGUUUGACAUGCUGUUUAAAGAAUAUGAUACAGAAUAUGCUACGGAGCUGAUCUAUGUUGAAAUUCAGCAAUUUUGCUAAAAUGUUAAAAGGUAAUUGAGGAGAAAUGUUAUUGGGUCUAUUCUAUAGGUUGAAUAUUGAUCUUUCUUGAAGUCCUGAGGGAAGCUUCACCAUGUACAUACAUUUUUAAUUUGGAUCAGCUGAGGAAUCAGCUUGAGGUUCAGUGUGUUGAACAUGUUAUGGACAACACAGGUUUUUUAACUUUCAUUUUCUUACCAAGUAACUUGUCUAUGAGGUUAUAUUAUAUUCAGCAAACAUCCAUGUUGAGCAAUUUCAUAUGGUUAAUUUGCUCAUGUGAAGAUUUUUUCUUUGUAAUUUACAAGUUCCGCACCACCCUGUAAAGUGAUUUGAGGAUUUAUUCUUGUUUGUUUUUUUGUCACUUGUGUGUUGUCACUUGGCCUGUUCUCAAUUGUUCUCCUUACCUCGCCUCCUGAAAACCAGUUUGUAGAGAAGGGCAGGACAUAUGACUUCUCAGCCAGAUGGGGUGCAGAGGCUAUUGUUAAAUAGCAGUUGACCAAACUAAAGCUUCUCACCGCCCAAUAUAUGUUUGUGAAGAACACACUGAAUUGAAGUAAAAUUUUCUAGCAGUUCCUAAUAAAGACUUGAAUAACACCUUUCAUGUAGUAAAUUGUUUUUUAUUUUACUUCAUUCAGUUUCAGGUAAUGUAUUGAAGCUUCUCAUUUCAUUGUCUACCUUUGUGUUGCUGCUGCAUUUGAG